GAGGGUAUAGCUCAAGUAGUAGGGUGGGUGCCUGGCAUGCACAAGGUCCGGGGUUCAACCCCUAGUACCUCCU
rnacentral:tRNA from 1 species